CCUCAAGAUGAGAUUUCCCAUUUCUUCGGAAAGUAAGAUCCCUGAAAGAUGAUCAGGUAGAUAGGUUUGGAGUGGAAGUGUAGCAAUACAUGGAGCGGACAAAUACUAAUCGAUCGAGGACUUAACCAAAA
rnacentral:rRNA from 1 species